rnacentral:rRNA from 1 species
GAUGAACGCUGGCGGCGUGCCUAAUACAUGCAAGUCGAGCGAACGGACGAGAAGCUUGCUUCUCUAAUGUUAGCGGCGGACGGGUGAGUAACACGUGGAUAACCUACCUAUAAGACUGGGAUAACUUCGGGAAACCGGAGCUAAUACCGGAUAAUAUUUUGAACCGCAUGGUUCGAAAGUGAAAGACGGUCUUGCUGUCACUUAUAGAUGGAUCCGCGCUGCAUUAGCUAGUUGGUAAGGUAACGGCUUACCAAGGCAACGAUGCAUAGCCGACCUGAGAGGGUGAUCGGCCACACUGGAACUGAGACACGGUCCAGACUCCUACGGGAGGCAGCAGUAGGGAAUCUUCCGCAAUGGGCGAAAGCCUGACGGAGCAACGCCGCGUGAGUGAUGAAGGUCUUCGGAUCGUAAAACUCUGUUAUUAGGGAAGAACAUAUGUGUAAGUAACUGUGCACAUCUUGACGGUACCUAAUCAGAAAGCCACGGCUAACUACGUG